CCAUCACAAGUCCUUGAAAAGCUGAAAUGAAGAGGAAUGUUAAUUUGCUCUUUGCAGUCAUAUGCUUGCUAGGGGUUUCUGGAUAUACAAUUGCCAUAGCAAGAUUAAUGAAGUCUUCUUGAUCUAGCAAUAGUGUGGACCAGAUGAAGCUGAUGUACUUCUAUUGAUCAUUAGAUAUCCCAAAACUUCAGUUUGGGAAGGUGUAGACUAAUAUCCUUGCGUAAUGGUUGUUACUCUGUUGAGCUAUGAAAUUGAAUUUUUCGCUUUGAAUUUUGACAAUGAAAGUGUAGACUAAUAUUCUUCUCAUAUUUUAUGGUCAUAUUGUACCUUUAUAUCUUACUUUUUACUUUUUUGAUAUCAAUACUAAUUUUCAGAAAACAAAUAAUAAUUUUUGUGAACGUAACAGUACAAUACUAAGUGACCUGAAUUUUAUUUAAACAACCAAGGCAAGCUUACACAUUCAGAUCCAGACAAGUCCAUACCUAAACAUAUGCAUACACAAACAUAAUAUAUCUAGACUGGCAUACAUUCUCCACAGCAACUGAGCCACUUAUUUAUACCAUAUAUGGAGCACUUCUUCUCACAUUCACUGUUGCUCC